ensembl:lncRNA
CGGGGUCAACGGGGAGAUCGCAGUGAGGCUCCCUCUCAGCAGUCCCAAGAUGGAGGGCUUCCCCCGAGGCUGUGCGACCGCCAAGAAGGACCGAGGGCAUCACAGAACUGACCACGCGCAGCAAAAAGGGGUGCCGUACUGCAGACUGUCCCCUCCCCUGGAGAACGGCCUGAAGACGCCGGCCGAGCCCAAGGCGCGGGGUGGGGGCUCCGGCUCCGGUCCUCGUCCGGACAAGGCCUCUGGGCACCCCGCCCCCACCCCCACCUCCACCUCUACCAGCAGGGCCAUUCAGGAGCCGCGUGGAGCGCCAGCCUCCAGCAGCCGGAGGUCCACCAACAGCGCCAUCACCAGCUCCUCCUCCUCCUCCUC